GAUGAAGAACGUAGCGAAAUGCGAUAAGUAAUGUGAAUUGCAGAAUUCAGUGAAUCAUCGAAUCUUUGAACGCACAUUGCGCCCCUUGGUAUUCCGAGGGGCAUGCCUGUUCGAGCGUCAUAUUAACCACUCCCGCUUGCGGGGUCUUGGGCUUCGCCUCCGGGCGGGCCUUAAAAUCAGUGGCGGUGCCGUCGGGCUCUAUGCGUAGUAAAUUUUCUCGCGAUAGGGUCCCGGUGGAUGCUUGCCAACAACCCCCAACUUCUUAAGGUUGACCUCGGAUCAGGUAGGGAUACCCGCUGAACUUAAGCAUAUCAAUAAGCGGAGGA
rnacentral:misc_RNA from 1 species